GUGCACCAGUCGAGAAUACUCCACAAUGCGCGAAAGCGCGAUGGGGCUAUCCCGAGUGCCGUCCGCUGAGGAUGGCUUUUCUCCAGUGUAAGGAGCUGGAGGAAUAAGGAGAGGGCAAGUCUGGUGUCAGCCCGCCGCGGUAAUACCAGCUCUCCGAGUGGUAGGGACGUUUAUUGGGCUUAAAAGCGUCCGUAGCCGGCUCAGCAAGUCCUCCGUUAAAUCCAGCGAUUCAAUCGUUGGACCGCGGGGGAUACUGCUGGGCUAGGGGACGGGAGAGGCCGACGGUAUUCCCGGAGUAGGGGUGAAAUCCUAUAAUUCCGGGAGGACCACCAGUGGCGAAGGCUGUCGGCUAGAACGAGCUCGACGGUGAGGGACGAAAGCGU
rnacentral:rRNA from 1 species